GCCUAUGGCCACACCACCCUGAAAACGCCCAAUUUCGUCUGAUAUCGGAAGCUUAGCAGGGUCGGGCUCAGUUAGCACUUGGAUAGGAGACCGCCUCGGAAUCAUGGGUGCUGUAGGCU
rnacentral:rRNA from 1 species